UACCACUUACAGAUGGACCCGCGGCGCAUUAGCUAGUUGGUGAGGUAACGGCUCACCAAGGCGACGAUGCGUAGCCGACCUGAGAGGGUGAUCGGCCACACUGGGACUGAGACACGGCCCAGACUCCUACGGGAGGCAGCAGUAGGGAAUCUUCCGCAAUGGACGAAAGUCUGACGGAGCAACGCCGCGUGAGUGAUGAAGGUUUUCGGAUCGUAAAACUCUGUUGUUAGGGAAGAACAAGUACCGUUCGAAUAGGGCGGUACCUUGACGGUACCUAACCAGAAAGCCACGGCUAACUACGUGCCAGCAGCCGCGGUAAUACGUAGGUGGCAAGCGUUGUCCGGAAUUAUUGGGCGUAAAGCGCGCGCAGGCGGUUUCUUAAGUCUGAUGUGAAAGCCCCCGGCUCAACCGGGGAGGGUCAUUGGAAACUGGGGAACUUGAGUGCA
rnacentral:rRNA from 1 species